GGGCACAUGGUGUAGUUGGUUAUCACGCCCGCUUAGCAAGUUCUCCUUGUCUGCGGGCGGUCCCCGGUUCAAUUCCGGGUGUGUCCA